AUACGGAGGGUGCAAGCGUUACUCGGAAUCACGGGGCGUAAAGGGCGCGCAGGCGGUUUGGUAAGUCAGAUGUGAAAGCCCACGGCUCAACCGUGGAAGUGCAUUUGAAACUGUCAGACUUGAGUACUAGAGGGGAAAGUGGAAUUCCCGGUGUAGAGGUGAAAUUCGUAGAUAUCGGGAGGAAAACCGGUGGCGAAGGCGACUUUCUGGCUAGAUACUGACGCUGAGGCGCGAAAGCGUGGGGAGCAAACAGGAUUAGAAACCCCAGUAGUCC
rnacentral:rRNA from 1 species